UUACCACCGAACAUUUACCGUGUGUUUCAUUCAGGGAACAGAGACAAGAGCCGGAGCAGCUUUUCCAGGGAACCACUGAGGAAUAUCUGACACAAACACAAAGCUGACUUCCAUCCUUCCUCCUGCUCCUGCAUUAAAGACAAGAUCAACCUUCCAUCUUCCAUGUCGCCAAACUAAAGAAGAAGAAGAAGAAGAAAGAAGAAGAAGAAGCUCGGCUCAGUUGGACAGCGGCCGCGCGCGGACUGUUGUCGUCUGCCUCAUUCUUCUUUUCUACGCAAAAAAAAAGAGUAACCAUUUCGGACCUGGAGGAAGCGAAGAGGAAGAAGACGCAGAAGCGAAAGGCGACGAGAGAAGCGGAAGACGAAGAAGAAGACGACGGUGCAGGUGAAAGUGACAGAGGCAGAAUGAACAACAACAAAACCGAGAAGGAGAACGAGCAGAGUGAAUUCACCAACCACGAGGAGGAGGUCCGAACGCUAUUCGUCAGUGGACUGCCGCUGGAUAUCAAGCCGCGGGAGCUCUAUCUCCUGUUCAGACCUUUUAAGGGUUAUGAAGGCUCCUUGAUAAAACUCACCUCGAAACAGCCGGUGGGGUUUGUCAGCUUUGACAGUCGAUCAGAGGCAGAGGCUGCUAAGAAUGCCUUGAACGGGGUCAGGUUUGAUCCGGAAAUCCCCCAGACCCUGCGGCUGGAGUUCGCCAAGGCCAACACCAAGAUGGCCAAGAACAAGCUGGUUGGCACUCCCAACCCCCUCCCUUCCCAGCAGAGCCCGGGGCCACAGUUCAUCAGCAGAGACCCAUAUGAGCUCACAGUGCCUGCUCUAUAUCCCAGCAGCCCAGACGUGUGGGCGUCAUACCCACUGUACCCGGCGGAGCUGUCGCCGGCCCUCCCACCCGCUUUCACCUACCCCUCCUCGCUCCACGCUCAGAUUCGCUGGCUCCCACCUGCAGAUGGAACUCCUCAGGGAUGGAAGUCCAGGCAGUUCUGCUGAAGUAUGUGUUCCUGAUGUGUGAUGGUGGCCGUGGCCGGCUGUGACGGGCGUUGCUGACUGCUUCUCAUGUCCAUUAGAAAAGCAAGGAGGACUGACCUGACUCCAGCACUCGGAGCAGCGUACCGUCGCAGCAGCCUCAUGGGCCUCAGGACAUUCUAGACCCCAGCCUCCAUCACACAUCGAGACCCCCCACCACCGUCCCCAAAGUCCCUCCAACUCUUUUUUUAUACUGUUACAUACUCUAGAUUUACUGGCAGUGCUUUGGCCCCACCUCCACUGACCACUCUGUGAAAAGGUACCCGGGCACGCCCCUUUGUUUACCACUCGACUGCAGUGACUGUCUGAGGCUACAAUCCACACUGGUACGUUUAAGUUUUGAAAACACAUGGCUGUUGCUACGCUUACGCCUGCCGUCCACGCUACACGUGACCCUGAAGAAAACAAACAAACACAUCCGCCUCGAUCCCCAGUGGUCAAUGCAACAUGGGUGAUGAAAUAUAAGGGUACCAACUUGUCAUUGGUCCAAGAAAAGAAAUCCCUGGUCUUAGUUUUGCUGUUUCUCCUUUGAGGUGGCAUGGUGGUGCAGUGGUUAACUCACCUCACAGCAAAAAGGUUCAUGGUCUGAAUCCUAGGUCAGCCGGGACCUUUUUGUGUGGAGUUUGCAUGUUCUCCCCGUGUCUGCGUGGGUUUUCUCCAGCUUCCUCCCACAGUCCAAAGACAUGCCGAUUGGGGUUAGGUUGAUUGGAGACUCUAAACUGACCAUAAGUGCGAAUGGGACUGUGAACUGUUGUUUGUCUGCAACUAGGCAACCAAAUCCAAUCUGCUUCCUAUUUACACAAUAUCUAAAAGGUCAUGGGAUGAGUUUUCAGGUGUGUACGUAUCUGAAUCGCAGCGAAAUCGCUCAUCUGGUCGGUGAUAAUUUCUUUUAAAGCCGUUUUAAAACUUAAGCGUAUCAGUGUGGACGUAGCCCAACAUUAGCCGCUCUCUUGCUUUGUGUUCUGUAUGUAAUGCAAGUGUAAAGACAAGCCCACCAAAGGAGGUGCCAAUACAUUUUUAUUAUGCAGUCACUUUGCAAGGCCAGACGUGAGCUAAACGUGUGGACGUGCGGCUAAAGCACUGCUCGAUAAUGUUAUUAUAUUACUAUAAUUAUUACUAUUGUGUAUAUCAUUCAUAUUAAUGUUAUUAUGAUUAUUAAAUACAUGUUGAAGCAUGACUUUGCAAAAAAAAGAAGAAAAAAAAACAAUGCUGUACAUUUUUAGAUAUUUUAAAGAAAUACAAAAAGGUAUUUUUGUAAUCCAGACGAUGUUUGAAAUGUUUGAUUGGUUUUAUGUUGUGUUGAAGUGUGUGAGGAACUUUUCCUGUUUAUGGUUUUGUUUUGGGCCCUCUCUCUUUAGUGCCAUUAUAAAAUGGCGUGUCUCCCUGCUAAACCAAAGCAGCCCUGUCGGUUUGCUUUUGUCUUCUCUACAUACUGUGUGGACUUAGGUUUGCCCGUGUGUGUCUUUGUGUUGGUGUCUUUUACCCGAUGAAGGAAAACGUAUUAGUCCGAUGUGCUGUGGUUCAACCGAGCAGUCGACGCCUGAUCCAACUCAUCAUUUUGCAGUUUGACGUAAUCAGACGUGUAAAAACAAACAAGGCAUUGACAGGAAUAAGCCAUCGGUGGUGAAGGAAGAGUGACCCCCCCCCGUCCCCCAGAGACUGCAAAACAUGGCAAACUGAGUCCUGCUAUAAUUAGGGAAGAUGUCUCUUCAUUGUCUAGCAGCAGGACGGCAGCACAGUAUGGAGACAUAAAAGACCAAAGGCAUUUUUUUUUACACUGGAGAGCUUUCUAGGCGAGUGGAGUUAUUCCGUUUUUUGACUGCUUUGUAGUCCUCAAUCUGAUUUCUUAUGAAGUGUGACGUUAUAUUUGCUUAAUGUCUCUUUUGGUGUCACUCCAAAGAGCCACUCUGAAAUGGAGAAGAUAUUCACUUUAGGCAAUUUGUCUCUUUUGUCUAUUUUUAGGGAGCCAAUGUGACUCAACCUGCUUUUGUAAAUUCUGAAUUUACAUACUGGUGAUUGGAGCGCAGAGAGCAAAAAAAAAAAACCCAACACAUCUUUUGUAAUCUUGUGUGUUCUGGGCCUGCAAUAAUGUCUUUACUGUACGACAUGUCGAGCGAUAAUGUUCCUGUGACAUUUUGACGCCAAAAUUCUCGUUCGUGUCACAUUUGCACAAAAACAAAAAACCUGUGAGACUUUUACUUUCCUGGCGAGGCGAAGUCACAUUUCACAGUGAUGUGACAAUCAAAAAAACUGAAACAACCUUUUUCCCGGUGACGUUUUAGCCCAGAUGUGUACAAUCAUGUUGGACUGGUCGAAUCAUAUAGUCAGUGUUUGUAAUUAAUAAUAAUGAUAAUAUGCACGCACAUCAUAUCGACUGAUUCUAAGCAGAUUUUGCUUUUACGGACAUUUUUGACGCCGAGUGUGGCACCAAAUUUCUAAGUAUUUAUAAGGCGUGUGUGUGUGUGUGUGUGUGUGCGUGUGUGUUUUUUAAUGGGUAUCAAGUUUUUGAAUUUCAUAGAAGAUGCCCAUCAUAUAAUUCAUUGUAAGUUUAAUUGUAUAUUCAUUUUACGGUAGGGUUCUUUUUUUUCCUAGAGCUUCAUUUUGUGUUUGUAUCUGACUGAUUGGAACAAACUGUAUGUGAUAUAUGAAUACUGUUUUAUCUUCACUGUGAAAUCCAGAGAAAAACAUGCUCUUUGAACGAAUGGAUCGAUUUGUGUAUUUUGUCAGCAGUACGGUACAGAAGUUCCUGGAAACGAACAUGAUGAUCCCUCCUUUCGUAGAUGAAAACUACUCCUCCCUCGUUUCAGUAUACCGUGUGCAUACCUGUGUGUUUUCUGUGCAUGUUCACGGCAUGUGUGUGUUCUUUUCUUUUCCUUAAAUGCAUACAGUACUGUUGAUAUUUAUGUACUCUAGCCGCUGUAAGGAGAGAAACUGUAUUUCGGUGAAUUGCAGAGGUGUGUUUGUUUGAAACUCCCCCAAAAAAAGGUGAUCAAAAUGAGAAGUUUUUAUAAAAAUGUUAAAUGAAGACAUUUCAGGCCGUCCGCCAUUAAAAAUUGACGUCA